rnacentral:rRNA from 1 species
GGCAUACCGUGGCAUUGACGGUUAACGGGGGAUUAGGGUUCGAUUCCGGAGAGGGAGCCUGAGAAACGGCUACCACAUCUAAGGAAGGCAGCAGGCGCGCAAAUUACCCAAUUCUAACAGCAUAAGAGAGGUAGUGACAAGAAAUAACAAUACAAGGCAGUUAAAAUGCUUUGUAAUUGGAAUGAUAGAAAUUUAAACACUUUUUAAAGUAUCAAUUGGAGGGCAAGUCUGGUGCCAGCAGCCGCGGUAAUUCCAGCUCCAAUAGCGUAUAUUAAAAUUGUUGCAGUUAAAAAGCUCGUAGUUGAAUUUCUGCUAAAAAAAACCGGUCUGCUUUUAAUAAAAGUGGUAUCUUGGUGUGUUUUUAGCAAUAAUGUCUUUUGGAAUGUUUUAUUACUUUAUUGUAAUAAAUCAUAUUCAGGGUUUUUACUUUGAGAAAAUUAGAGUGUUUCUAG